rnacentral:rRNA from 1 species
AGAGUUUGAUCCUGGCUCAGGAUGAACGCUGGCGGCGUGCUUAGCACAUGCAAGUCGAACGAAGCAUUUCUACUAAACAUUUUCGGAUGGGAAGGAAAAAUGACUGAGUGGCGGACGGGUGAGUAACGCGUGGAUAACCUACCAUAUACAGGGGGACAACAGUUGGAAACGACUGCUAAUACCGCAUAAGCGCACAGUGCCGCAUGGCACAGUGUGAAAAACUCCGGUGGUAUAUGAUGGAUCCGCGUCUGAUUAGCUAGUUGGUGAGGUAAUGGCCCACCAAGGCAACGAUCAGUAGCCGACCUGAGAGGGUGACCGGCCACAUUGGGACUGAGACACGGCCCAAACUCCUACGGGAGGCAGCAGUGGGGAAUAUUGCACAAUGGGCGAAAGCCUGAUGCAGCGACGCCGCGUGAGCGAAGAAGUAUUUCGGUAUGUAAAGCUCUAUCAGCAGGGAAGAAAAUGACGGUACCUGACUAAGAAGCCCCGGCUAACUACGUGCCAGCAGCCGCGGUAAUACGUAGGGGGCAAGCGUUAUCCGGAUUUACUGGGUGUAAAGGGAGCGUAGGCGGCAAGGCAAGUCUGAUGUGAAAACCCGGGGCUCAACCCCGGGACUGCAUUGGAAACUGCUUAGCUAGAGUGUCGGAGAGGUAAGUGGAAUUCCUAGUGUAGCGGUGAAAUGCGUAGAUAUUAGGAGGAACACCAGUGGCGAAGGCGACUUACUGGACGAUAACUGACGCUGAGGCUCGAAAGCGUGGGGAGCAAACAGGAUUAGAUACCCCGGUAGU